CACCUGGCGUUGUGUGAAACAAUUGUCUGCCCUUGCUCUGACGGAGGGAGGGGCAACUGACAACAUGGCUUACAGCGAAUUAAAAUCAACAAAAGGGACGGCUUUGCA